rnacentral:rRNA from 1 species
CCUACGGGAGGCUGCAGUGAGGAAUAUUGGUCAAUGGGCGGAAGCCUGAACCAGCCAAGUAGCGUGCAGGAUGACGGCCCUACGGGUUGUAAACCGCUUUUAUACGGGAACAACGCGCCUUACGUUUAGGGCUUUGCAUGUACCGUAGGAAAAAGGACCGGCUAAUUCCGUGCCAGCAGCCGCGGUAAUACGGAGGGUCCGGGCGUUUUCCGGAUUUAUUGGGUUUAAAGGGAGCGCAGGCGGGAUGUCAAGCGUGCUGUGAAAUGUGCGGGCUCAACCCGGGCCUUGCAGCGCGAACUGGCGUGCUUGAGUGCGCGGAAAGCAGGCGGAAUGCGUGGUGUAGCGGUGAAAUGCUUAGAUAUGACGAAGAACCCCGAUUGCGAAGGCAGCUUGCUGCAGCGGAACUGACGCUGAUGCACGAAAGCGCGGGUAUCGAACAGGAUUAGAUACCCCUGUAGUC